rnacentral:rRNA from 1 species
UACGAAGGGGCUAGCGUUGUUCGGAAUUAGUCUGGGCGUAAAGCGUCGACGCAGGCGGCUAUCCAAGUCAGCUGGUGAAAGCCGGAGCUCAACUCCGGAACUGGCCAUUGAAACUGUUUAGCUACGAGGAUGAGAGAGGUGAAGUGGAAUUCCCAGUGUAGAGGUGAAAUUCGUAGAUAUUGGGAAGAACACCGGUGGCGA